rnacentral:rRNA from 1 species
GACGAACGCUGGCGGCGUGCCUAAUACAUGCAAGUAGAACGCUGAAGAGAGGAGCUUGCUCUUCUUGGAUGAGUUGCGAACGGGUGAGUAACGCGUAGGUAACCUGCCUUGUAGCGGGGGAUAACUAUUGGAAACGAUAGCUAAUACCGCAUAACAAUGGAUGACACAUGUCAUUUAUUUGAAAGGGGCAAUUGUUCCACUACAAGAUGGACCUGCGUUGUAUUAGCUAGUAGGCGAGGUAAUGGCUCACCUAGGCGACGAUACAUAGCCGACCUGAGAGGGUGGUCGGCCACACUGGGACUGAGACACGGCCCAGACUCCUACGGGAGGCAGCAGUAGGGAAACUUCGGCAAUGGGGGCAACCCUGACCGAGCAACGCCGCGUGAGUGAAGAAGGUUUUCGGAUCGUAAAGCUCUGUUGUAAGUCAAGAACGGGUGUGAGAGUGGAAAGUUCACACUGUGACGGUAGCUUACCAGAAAGGGACGGCUAACUACGUG